UAAUUCUUUUAUAUUGCUUCUCGUGUUUCGUCAAAGCUCAGUCUAGACACGUUAUGUGUUGUGUAUUGGAUACAACACUUCCUCUUUCUCUGAGUUCAGUUCCUUAUAUGAUAUGAAAUAAGGUGUCUUAAUCAUGCCACAAAGACUUCAUGCUGGAGGACAAGAUUGUACCUUACGUAUUUGGAUUUAGGGAGGUUUCAUUGUAUUUUUCAAUUUUAGAGUAUUAGUUUUAAGGUUUUAAAGUUUCAAUUAGUUUGUGGUAUUGAUGGGCAUACAAGUUACAACCUUUUAAUUGACCAUAGGUCACUAUAAGGUUUAUUAUCAAGGCUAUAAAUUGUCCGUUCAUGUUGUAUGAAGGUUUAGAUUUGCAUGAUAGAGUCAUUCAAGUAGUCUUGAUCAAACUAUCGUGUGGAAUAAUUUGAAUCAUGAGUCCAGAAAUGAGUGUCCUUUAAUCUUGAUCAUCAAGGCAAUUCAUUCCAAAACUUUCCAUUGGUUUGAUUCUUUAUCAUUUUUGAGGUUCUUGAAUAAUUUAGAUCGAAGGGUCUUGUUCUUCAAUAACAAAUUCCAAGAGUUUUGUAACAUUUGGUAUCAAAGCUUUAGGUUCUAAGUCGGAUGUAUGUUUCCAUUGUUUUUCCUACUGAAAUUUCUUAUUUUUUCAUCUCAUCACAUUCUAUCCAAUCAUUUAAAACAAAAAAAAGGUGUCGUUAUUAUUUUUUGCAUAUUUUUUUUUGUCUUCUGUGUUCUUAUAGAUCUCGUCUUAUUCUAAAACAUUGUAUUUUAUAAGAUCUUGAAAUUUGGGUUGCAUAGAGUAGAAAAGUAUGUACUUCGAUAAAGGCGUGUGGAAAAAUUCUUUUUCUUGUCUCUUUGCAUUCCUUGCAAUAUGUCACAAAGGAGAUCAACCAAAUCUAUGUUCCAUCAAGCACAAAAAUACAUUGUGAGACCCACAAUGAUCCAUUUUCGAUAGCUUUUCAAGGAAAUUUGGAUGAAAUCCACCGAUCUAUGAAACACGUGUCUAAAUUACGUCAAGAGUUGAAUUUAUGAGACCAAAUAAGUGAGAGACAAAUUGUACAACCUAUUCAAAAAGAGGAAGAUUAUCUUAUGCCCGCUAGACAAUGUUUCAAAAUGAUGGUAUUUUGUUACGGAUGACGUGGAGACCAGCAAAGACAAUAUGCAAGUAUAUGUUGUUCCAUGUCCAUUAAGACGGAAAGUGAAAAGGCGAAAGAGUGUGAGAGAACAAUGUUUGGUAUAUGAAAUUAUAAAAUGCUUAUUGAAAAGCAAGAUUCAAUAAUUGAUUCUUAUUCGAGCCAACAUCGAAUUAUGGACAAAACAAGACCAAUGAGCUACACAAGAAACGACACUCCCAUUUCACUUCUACAUCCAUGCAUGACCUAAAGAUAAAAGUGAAGACCUCAAGAAGAUUAAGACCACGAAAUGCAAAUGAUUUUAAGUUUGCAUUACAAGGAGAUCAAUUGGAUUCAAGGAUGAAUCCUCUUGAAGAAGGGAAGAACGGUACGAAAUAAGAUGUCUUGAUCAUGCCACAAAGACUUCAGGGUGGAUAACAAAAUUGUACCAUCCAUAUUUGGAUUUAGGGAUGUUUCGUUGUAUUUUUCAGUUUGAGUAUUAUUUUUAAGGUUUUAAGUUGCAAUUAGUUCGUCAUUAUGGUAUUGAUGGGCAUGAGAGGUUACUAUAAGGUUUA